GUACCUUUAGCUCAGUUGGUUAGAGCAGACGGCUCAUAACCGUCCGGUCGUAGGUUCGAGUCCUACAGGGUACA
rnacentral:tRNA from 11 species